rnacentral:misc_RNA from 1 species
UUUGUUAUCCAACUGGCACAUGGAAGCGCUGGUUUUGAGAGAGCUUACUCCGAAUAUAUUCACUUCGCUAAAACCUCUGCAUGACACCUAUUACCUCUCUGAUAUUGUGAGACAAGGACUGCGGUAUACAACAUGUCUGGCCCACACUUUUCUAGAAUGUGUGAAGAAGAAGAUGCCAACUAGGUUGCGCUAUCUUGAUUUGUCUGGAUUUCCAACAGCUGAAGUCAUCUUGUACUACCUCGCCACACACUGUAUGCUUGCCCACAAUGAGGCCCGACAGACCGCCAUGGUCAACAUGUACAACACUGCCAUCCAGUACCUCCCAACCAACAGGACAUCCAUGCAUGCCGAUAACUGUCUGCCAGAGUCCGUGUGUAAGUUUCCUCCAUGUUUACUGGAACUUGGGGAGGGGGGAAUGAAAUGCUUUAAAUUUAUUGAUAAUAAAGGUUAAAAUUCUAGUAUAGAGAGUGAUGAUUAGUAUCUUUAUAAUAAUCAUCAUUCUUUGGUAAUUGCAAUUUGCAACAAUUAACUUAUAAACUUUAAGUGUGAAGUAGCAAAUGUACAUUCACACUUCACAGGUAUGAAAAUAUUAAGAAAUUACAAUGUAGAUGUUUUAAAAAGAAAUUCCGAGAAAAAUGAUCACCAGAAUUAUCAAUCUGCUUUUCAGUGGUGAUUAAACUCGAUGCAUUUGUGACAUCAGACCAGACUCAUGCUGAGUUGUGUAAAGCUUUGAAGGUGUCCGGAUUUCCAGAGAGUAAGCUGAGACUGUGCAUUGAGAAAUUGGAUGCCACAUGCCUUGGAGAACCCAAGAUUACAAUAAUGUUGAAACAAAUAGACAGAAGGUCUUUAAAAGGAAUUAGACUCAAGUACAACUCAUUAACUUGUGAUGAAUUCAUCAAGAUGGAACCAGAACUAAGAAGAUUUGAGAAUCUCACUGCCUUAGACCUGUCAUGUAACACCAUCCACCUUUAUCAAAAUGACACUGUCUGUGAAAGAAUGUCAGAAACUCUAUCCCUACUUCCACAACUUACAAGGCUUGAUCUAAGCAACAAUCGCAUCAAAAACAGGCUGCGGCACAUACUACAGAACAUGAACCAAUCGCUGAGGUACUUGAGACUCUGUGGAUGCGGUCUGACCAAUCUAGAUUUGACCUAUCUUGCCCAUUCCCAUCAUGCCCCAGCACUCCAGGAAGUGGAUAUCAGCGAGAACACUUUAACGGCUUGUACUAGAAGUCUUGGUCAGUUUUUCUGUGAAGCUGGCUCUAGUCUGUGUGUGUUUGAAGCAGAAGAUACAAAACUGACUGAUGAGGUCUUGCUGAUCCUUGUCCAUCAUUUUCGAAGCCUAAAAAACUUGUUGUACAUGAAUAUUGCAGAAAAUAACUUUAGCGCCAAUACUCUUCAGUGUUUUAUGCAGGUUUUUGCAUCACUACCUGCAGUGACUACUGUGCGCAUUCCAUAUUGUAGGGAAUGCUAUCGGUUGGAUGAAACAAUCACAGACGAUAUGAUUAGCAUGAGGAAAAUGCAGUCUAUCGUGGACCUUUAUGCUGUGACUGAUCAAGUCAGGGGCGAACACAAGGAAAGAUUAAAAAUUGUUGCCACUGAAAUGUCAAGAAUUGAUAUGGAACAUAUAUAAUGUAUUUAUUAUAGAUAUUUAUUACUGUAAUUAAAAUCUGAUUUUUCUUUUAAAUGAUCAAAAUAAAAAAAAAACAAAGUACC